rnacentral:tRNA from 1 species
GGCUUCGUAGUUCAGCUGGUAGAGCACUUGCCGCGUUAAGGCAUGAUGUUUCUGUUGCUGCUUCGAAUUCAGUCGAAGCUC